UACGUAGGGUGCAAGCGUUGUCCGGAAUUAUUGGGCGUAAAGAGCUCGUAGGCGGUCUGUCGCGUCUGCUGUGAAAUCCCGAGGCUCAACCUCGGGCUUGCAGUGGGGUACGGGCAGGCUAGAGUGCGGUAGGGGAGAAUGGAACUCCUGGUGUAGCGGUGAAAUGCGCAGAUAUCAGGAGGAACACCGAUGGCGAAGGCAGGUCUCUGGGCAUUAACUGACGCUGAGGAGCGAAAGCAUGGGGAGCGAACAGG
rnacentral:rRNA from 1 species